CCAAAUAGUCCAAGCUGUCCUCAAUCUACCUCAAGAGAUUCAACCCAAUGAUUUUUUUUAAAAAUAUGAAUAUUAAGUGCAAUAUUAAGUUUGAUAUUCAAAAGAGCCUGACACAUUUGUCCCUCAGUGUAGGGGAAGCGAGGUUGUCGAAUUUCCAUGACACAGCAACUUGAGUGUCGGGGCCUGUGUUGUAGGAAGUGCAGGGUAAAAAUAACGCAGAAGCCUUGGAGAAGUCUGGCUACUAAGCGUCCUUCCACUAAUCCCCUACUGCCAUUGUCUCCUCAGAGCCUCCACAACAGCAGAUCCUUAACACCAGCCGGCCGGCCACUCAACACACUCACUCACACCCGGCAGCCAGACCAACUGCAUGGAAAAAGACAGUGGAAUGGCCAUACCCACCAUGUUUAAUUGCAGUGCCAGGAUCCUGGUGGGAAGGGGAGGCUCCAUUCUGUGCUCCCCCAGGGAGGAGGCUUGCGUGCGGGCCACGGAGAAGCACCAAGUGCCCCUGGUCCUGCCG